rnacentral:rRNA from 1 species
GAUGAACGCUGGCGGCAUGCCUAAUACAUGCAAGUCGAACGAGAGGAAGGAAAGCUUGCUUUCCUGAAUCUAGUGGCGAACGGGUGAGUAACACGUAGGUAACCUGCCCAUGUGCCCGGGAUAACUUCUGGAAACGGAUGCUAAAACCGGAUAGGUAGCAGACAAGCAUUUGACUGCUAUUAAAGUGGCCUUGGCCAUGAACAUGGAUGGACCUGCGGUGCAUUAGCUGGUUGGUGAGGUAACGGCCCA